rnacentral:rRNA from 1 species
UACGUAGGGACCAAGCGUUGUUCGGAUUUACUGGGCGUAAAGGGCGCGUAGGCGGCGCGGUAAGUCACUUGUGAAAUCUCUGAGCUUAACUCAGAACGGCCAAGUGAUACUGCAGUGCUAGAGUGUGGAAGGGGCAAUCGGAAUUCUUGGUGUAGCGGUGAAAUGCGUAGAUAUCAAAGAGGAACACCUGAGGUGAAGACGGGGUUGCUGGGCCAACACUGACGCUGGAGGAGCGAAAGCGUGGGGAGCGAACAG